rnacentral:rRNA from 1 species
UCAAGGGUGUAUGGGGGAUGCCUAAACAUCAAAAGGGGACGAAGGACGUGGCGUAACUGCGAAAUGCCUCGGGUAGGUGUGUAGCAACCUGUGAUCCGGGGAUGUCCGAAUGGGGAAACCCCUCCAAAUGGAGAUUCGCGCUUUGCGCGAAGCCGUACCCGCUGAAGUAAAACAUUUCAGUAAGCGGAGGAAAAGAUACCGUAGUAUCUUCUUUGAUGUUUACAGCAUAGUAUUGUGUUGUAAGCAUUGAAGAAGAUUUCGUAUUCCCUUAGUAGCGGCGAGCGAACAGGGAGGAGCCUAAACCUGCGUAUGCAGGGGUUGUAGGGCAACGACACAAAGGUUGGAUAUAUUUAAACGAAUAACUCUGGAAAGAGUGACCAUAGAAGGUAAUAGUCCUGUAGUUGAAAAGUAUUGAAAACCCGUUGUUGUUCCUGAGUAGCUCGAGGCACGACUACCUCGAGCGAAUCAUCCCGACCUAUCGGGAAAGGCUAAAUACUUUUGAUGAUUGAUAGUGAACAAGUACCGUGAGGGAAAGGUGAAAAGCAGUCCGGUGAGGACGAUGAAAUAGAACCUGAAACCAUAUACCUACAAGGAUGUGGAGCUCUUUUACAGAGUGACACAGUGCCUUUUGCAUAAUGAUCCAACGAGUUUAUGUGUACUGCUUGUUUAACUCCUUUUUGUGGAGGAAUGCAUAGGGAAACCAAGUCUUAACAGGGCACUCUCAAUCUAUUUAUUUUGAGUAUUUUGUACUCAAAAUAAAUAGAUUGAAGGCAGUAUAUAUAAGACCCGAAGCCAGGCGAUCUACCCAUGGCCAGGGUGAACCUUGAGUAAAAUCAAGGGGAGGCCCGCACCCACUCGCCGUGCAAUACGAGGGGAUGAGCUGUGGGUCGCAGUGAAAAGCUAAUCGAGCCUGGUAAUAGCUGGUUCUCUCCGAAAUAGCUUUAGGGCUAGCCUUUAGUGAAGGCGCGCGGAGGUAGAGCACUGGUUGGUUUGGCGAGGUUUUUCUGAGUCAAGCCAGUCAAACUCCGAAUGCCGUGCGUUGUUUCUGAAGAGUUAGAAUGUGGGGGCUAAGCUCCAUAUUCGAGAGGGAAAGAGCCCAGACCACCGUCUAAGGUCCCCAAGUGUAUGUUAAGUGGGAAAGGAGGUGAUGAUUCCCAAACAGCUAGGAGGUUGGCUUAGAAGCAGCCAUCCUUUAAAAAGUGCGUAACAGCUUACUAGUCGAGAGUCAUUGCGCCGAAAAUGUAACGGGGCUCAAACAUACCACCGAAGACGUGGACUCAUACCGUUUGCGCGGUAUGAGUGGUAGGAGAGCAUUUCCAUCUGCGUUGAAGUCGUGCCGUGAGGCGCGGUGGAGCGUUGGGAAGAGAGAAUGUUGGAAUGAGUAACCGCAAGAAGGGUGAGAGACCCUUCCGCCGAAAGCCUAAGGUUUCCUUGGCAAUGUCAAUCAGCCAAGGGUUAGGCAGCCCUAACCGCAGGUCCGAAAGGAUCGGCGGGAUGGACAACAGGUUAAUAUUCCUGUCCUUUUUGCUUGUGCGAUGGAGGGACGGAGAUUAGUACACAGUGCGCAUUAUUGGAUUUGCGUUUAUGCUUUAGGGGAAGAAGGGGAGAAAUGCCCCUUUGGUCGCAAGACAUUCCCGAGAAGUGUAACGAAGCGCGUUUUUGCGCGUGAAGUCUGUGGAGCAAUCUUCCAAGAAAAGCUUCUAAGGUUAACAAGUAAAAAUCUGUACCAAAACCAACACAGGUAGGCAGGGCGAGUAGCCCAAGGCGAACGUGUGAAUCCUCGUUAAGGAACUCGGCAAAUCAGCUAGGCGUAACUUCGGGAUAUGCCUUCCCCGUAGCAAUAUGGGGCGCAGCAAAUGUCUUCCUGGCGACUGUUUAUCAAAAACACAACUCUCUGCUAACUCGUAAGAGGAUGUAUAGGGGGUGACACCUGACCAAUGCCAGAACGUUAAGCGUUGGUGGUCAAACGAAGUUUACUUCGUUUGGCUGUUGAUGUAAGCGCUGGUGAAUGUCGGCCGUAACUAUAACGGUCCUAAGGUAGCGAAAUUCCUUGGCAGGUAAGUUCUGUCCCGCACGAAAGGUGUAACGACUGGGAAACUGUCUCAACGAGGAGCACGGUGAAAAUGCAGUACCGGUAAAGAUGCCGGUUACCUGCGGAAAGACGAAAAGACCCCGGGAGCUUUACUAUAGCUUUUUAUUGUUGUAGUGCAUUAUAUGCGUAGCGUAGUGGGGAGGCUUUGAAGCUUUAAUUUCGGUUAAGGUGGAGCCGCCAAUGAAACACCCAUCUUAUAGUGUAUUGCAACUAACCGGCUGCUAAACACAGUCGGAACAGUGAAAGGUGGGUAGUUUAAGUGGGGCGCUUGCCUCCUAAAAGGUAGCGGAGGCGUUUAUCAAGGUCAGCUAGCUCCGGAUGGAAAUCGGAGUGGUCGUGUAAAGGCAUAAGCUGGCUUAACUGCAAGACCUAUAAGUCACGCUCUUGUAAAACUUUCUAUUGCAAAAUAGUGGGGAGUAGCAAGACAUCAAUGAUAUUUAUAUUUUUGAUGAGGUGCGAAAGCAGAACUUAGUGAACCGACUCUUCUUUAUAGAAAGGGAGGAGAUCAUCAGAUAAAAGUUACCCCGGGGAUAACAGGCUAGUCGCAUCCAAGCGUCCACAGCGACGAUGCGGUUCGGCACCUCGAUGUCGGCUCGGCGUAUCCUGGGACUGAAGAAGGCCCCAAGGGUUUGGCUGUUCGCCAAUUAAAACGUCACGCGAGCUGGGUUCAGACCGUCGUAAGACAGGUUGGUCUCUAUCUUCCGUGGGCGUUGAGCUUUGAGGGGGGUCGCUCCUAGUACGAGAGGACCGGAGUGAACGAACCUCUGGUGUACCAAUUGUCACGCCAGUGGCACAGUUGGGUAGCUAUGUUCGGAAGGGAUAAGUGCUGAAAGCAUAUAAGCACGAAGCCCCACCCAAGAUGAGAGCUCAAGAUUCCUGCAAGACGAGCAGGUUGAUAGGCUGCAGGUGUACGCACUGUGAAGUGUUCAGCCAAGCAGUACUAAUAUAUCAGCACUU